rnacentral:lncRNA from 1 species
UGGCUUCUGUUCAGAAAAAAAAAGGGAGAGAGGGAGAGAGAGAGCUCUGGGGGAGAGGUCGUCGGUCGGUUGCCGGAGCACCGUGCCGGCCGCCGUCUGGUUCGCCGCCGGCAGUCUUGGACGGUGGUUUCCGAUGACCGGGAAAGGUGAAAAUUCUUCUGGAAGUUCUCUUCGACGCGAUCUUUCCAGAUUCGGUGUCCUUUUUACCGGAAACAGCCCUGAUCGACGUAGAUCGGGGCUCAAAGUUUCGGUCUCUCUUUUUUUCUUUUUUUUUUUUUCUUUGAAUCUGCUGAUCUCUCUCUUUUUUUUUUUCAGGUGGCUUUCUGGCGCUGGGUUCCCCGUUCCAGGGGACUGUUGUUUUUUUUUUUUUGUGUGUUUUUGCAGAAUUUUUUUUACAGAAGCUGCCUUCUUCUUUUCUUUUUUUUUUCGUUCCUCUUUUUAGUCUAGUUUACAAGCUCUAUUUAUAGAGCUUGUUGGGAUUCAAAUCUCAGAUUUUCUAGGAUUCGAAUCUCAUUUUUCAACUGAAAAAUCAUACCUACCGUCCGUGAUUGGUGGUUUGUCGGGAGGUUGAUCGGGUAGUUGGUCGGACCAGUUCGGCGCCGUACCAACCCCUUGACUUUUGUCUUAUUUUCGUUUCUUUUGUUUGUUUAUUUUUUGUUUUUUUGUUUGUUUUGUUAAAUAUUAUUAUUAUUAAAAUAAAACAGUAGAUCCGGACAAAAUCGGUGUCUACAAAUUUAAUUAUAUUUAUAUGAUUAAAUUUACAUUAAACAUUUCAUAUUUUAUUUUACCUGACGAGGGAUACACACUAUUAAAUUAUAAUAGAAGUCAUCCGAAUAAUUGAGUGAUAUGUUUUUAUUUUCAUAUAACAAUAUCACCAAUGUGGCAAAUCCAACUAAAGCUAUUUUUCUAUAGAUUCAUUACUAUCACACUCGUCAUUGUCAAUCUCCUGUAUUAUAGGAAUGACGUUAUCUUAUCUUAAUAGAAAUGAUUUUAAAUAAAUAAUACUAACUAAUAAAUAUUUACUUGUUAAUUGGUACAUGAAAAUUACGGAACUAUUAAAUAAUUCUUCUUGUUCCUUUUACCUAUUUAAUAGGAUUUUAUUAACAGAUCACUUAGACGGCCUAGUCAAUCUUUAAAGAAAGAAAACAGAGGCAUGAUAUUAGCCCAUCUAGUAGGGAUCAUUGUGAAUUUGUUGGAUGCUGGUGCGGAGUCAGAAUUGAAGGAACAGAAUGAUGUUGUGGGUUUAUUUGCAUGCAUGGAUUUCCCUGAAACUAUGCAUUAUGGUUUCCAGCACAUGUUAGCCUACACUGUUAGACUAUAUAUCUCCAAGAAUUCAUUAUGUUUCUUUGUGCUUUAUGGCUUUUUCAUUUCAAUGUUUCAAUUCACCACCUUUACAGUCUUAAUUUUUUUUGUUUUUUAAACAUUCAAUUUGCAGGCUACAUCUUUUAGGGGAGAUGCGAAUGUUCCUAAACUUUGCCAGCUGAAGAAUUUCUUGAGCCUCCUCAUCAGCCAUUCUGAUUCACAGAAGAUGGAGGAGAUUCAAUGUGGAGAAACUGAUGACAACGACGGUAUGUGCUACAUCUGUUAUGCUUGUGAAGCAGAUACACAGUUUGCACCAUGUUCCCACAGGUCUUGCUAUGUUUGCAUAACUAGGCAUCUUUUAAAUUCUCAAAGAUGUUUCUCGUGCAUUGCCAAUGUCUUGGAAGUCAUCAAAACCAUAGAAAAACAGUUCAAAGGCAAUUAAGAAUAUUAUUUUUGAGGGCUUGUCAAAUAAUGUGGUAGCGCAAGCAAAAUGGAAACGAAAAUGGAGAAAAAAGAAAGCGUAAAAGUCCAGUAAUCCAAAUGUUUUGUUGUUAAUAAAAUAACUAUUUAACGGUAUAUAAAAUUAUAAUAAAAUAAGAUAAAAAGGAUAUUAUGAAUAAGAUUAAAUUAAAUAAUAUUAUCAUAUUUUGUGUUUGAUAUAUAUAAAGAUUAAUAUAUAAUAAUUUAUUUAUUAAUCAAAAUUAUCUUUUUUUAAAAUUUAUAUAAUUUAAAAUAUUAAUGUAACUUUUAAGGGUAUAUGUAAUCCUAUCAUUUUGUUUAGCUACAAAUUAACAUAAUAUAAAAUGAUUAUUAUACUAUCUUAUCAAUCAUAUUCUAUGUAUUAAAUAUGCUUAAAGGCAUUUUAUUCUAUAAAUAUGAUAUGUAUAUGGCAAAGGAAAAUCUUUAGUCUCACUCUCUUUUUGAUUCAUGGUCACGUUUAAAGGUGAGAAAAAAAUCAAGAAAACCAAAAAUUGAUUUAAAACUAUAGUAUUUGGUUAGGUUCGAAAUGAUUUUUUUUAUUCGAUUUAAAUUAAGAUUAAAUAUUAAAUGUAUAUAUUAAGUUCAGAUCUAAUUUCGAAUCAGAAUAAUAAAAAUAAUUAUUUUAUAUAUAAAUCUAUUUAAAUAUAUUAAAAAACCUAUUAAAAUAAUAUAUAUAUAUAAUACAAAAAAAAUUAAGUUUUAAAAACUUAAAAAUCGAACCGAACUAAACUCAUAGAAUUAAGUUUGAAUCGAAUUGACUUAAAGAAAAAAUCAAUUCAAAUUUAAAUCUAAUUUUAAAAAUUCAUAAUAUUAUAUAUUAUAAAAAAAAUAUUAAAUCGAAUUCAAUCCAAUUCUAACCAUUACCAACCCUAGUCACAUUUUAUAAGAAAUAAGUUCUAUUGUUGUUCUAAUUAUUCAUUAUCACAAGUGGCAUAGAUCUUUUUAGUAUUUGACUCCCAUGGUAUGUGUACAUAUCCUUUGUUCAAAGAGUAAAAUGCCAAGUGCGUGAGACCACUCAUAUUUGUUGGCGACCAUAUUCAUAAAUCAUACUAGGAGCUAAGCAUUUCUUGGUCUCCGGGAGCUAAGCUAAAAGUAGCCAUUAAAACAGAUUGGAAGGGAAAAAAAUCUUUUGCAACCUUUUUUAAAUUGACGAUCAAACUUGAAAACACUGUCAAAUAAUCAAUGGAUCAGUAGUCACUUUACAAGAAAAUUUUCAAGAAAAAGAAAUGUGAUAACUACCCCAAAAUCACAAGGCUGAAAACCAAUUGAUGAGGAAUGAAAAUGAAGAGAAAAAAAAUCAACAAUGCGGUCAAGGAAUGACAAAAAUGAAUUCCAAGACUGAAUGUACAAAAUUUCAAAGGGAUAUUGUACAGAGAUCCUCAAAUACUUGUCUGAUGUUAGGCCUCCCAUUUACAGGAAGAAUACACCUUAGUGAUAUGGCAAGCAAAUCUUCCAUGGCUUUUGUGUGUUCUUCCCCACUAGCAAUGUCUCUGUCAACACAGUCCAUUCCCCGUCCUUCUUGAUCACAUAAUCGAACCCAAUCUGUCAGAUCCACUGCUCCUGAUUGACCUGAUAUUAUGUCACCAGCGCUUCUUCUUGUUAACAAUUCCAUCAGGAUAACUCCGAAAGCAUAGACAUCAGCCUUAAAUGAUGGGACUGGUUUAGAUGCAGAAGCAAGUUCGGGCGCACGAUAUCCAAGGGCCCCCAGAUUCAAUAUCUGCUCUGCAAUGCCAGUUGGUGUCAUCAGCCGGUGAAGGCAAUAAUCGGUUAGGCAAGCAUGGUAAUCAGGGUCAGCAAGGAGUAUAUUUGUCGGCUUUAGGUUUCCGUGCGGCAGGCCUCUAUCGUGGAGGUGUAACAGACACUGAGCAACUUCUACAGCAACUUUCAGUCUUUGGCUGAAAGAUAAAGGGGAGUACCUCCGAGGAGUAGUCUCUGCAUUAACACAUAUACAUAUUGAUCAAAUGAAAACAUAAAAGGCAAAAUCUCAGUAAAUUCAUAAACUCCUGCAAUGGAACUGUAUAAAGCAUUUGUAAUUCAAUAUUGCAAGACAAUGGUAAUAAAACCCUUCUCAUCUCAAGAGAAGAUCAGAGUGUGACCACAAUGCCUCAUGUAACCACGGUUCUAGCCAUGAUAGAAAUCUAAUACUGUCAGACACAAGAAAAAUUAACAAUAACCUUUACUUCUUGUUAGUCACUUUGUAUGAAAAAAGAUAUAGCUUCUUUUCUUUUCUAAAAUGUAAGCCAGUCAGUAUAGUCAAUAAUUAACAACUUCUCUUUGAUAGGAUUUGAGAGAAAAGAUCCCCUAGUUUAUUGUUUCUAAUCUUCAACUUUGUAAUUUCAAUCAGUUAUGAGAAGUUUCAAAAAUUAGAAACCUAUUUUUAUCAAGGCCAAACAAGUUUUUUUCUCCACGUUUAACUUGUUAGUCUUGAAUUCUGAUAGUUGUUGCAAUUACCCAUUUGGUGAUCAAAGAGGCAGAAUCCCUUGUUGCCAUUCUUCAUUUACAACAAUCAACCCAGAUGAAGUGCCAUACUGCCAAGAACAGGUCAAUUAGACUGCAAAGAUUCUUUUUCAACCUCCUGCUCCAUCAUUUGCCAGGAAGAAAGCAAAAUGUGGAUUUAAAAGAAUUAAAGAAGUUAAGCCACAGAACUAACACAUUGGAGCCAAAACUCAAAACCAGAUUCAAAGUAUCUAGGUUUAUAUUCGUCUUAUAUUAGAGCACUCAUUUCUUGCCUACUGCCACAUUGUUUGACCUCCAAGAUUUUGUUAUUAAGGUUUCCCUAUGAUAAUUGAUGACAAAUUCAUCAGGAGAGGAUCUAAAACGGUUGUAUCUAAAACAACUAUUCACACUCUCCUUAAAAGAGAGGCAUUUGAUUUUAUUCUAGAAUCUGUCACCAACAUUGAUGCAAAGAUAUACCACAAAACCACAUGAAAAAUGUAAUAAAAUACCACCUAACUCAUAAUUAGAGUGAAAAGUUUAGCACCAGUAGUUGUUAACACUAGCAACCUAAGGUGAUUAUAGAAUGAGCAAGUGUGCCUAAUUUUAGGUUUAAUUGACCACCUUAUAUUAGCAAACUGAGAAAUUAUUGCUUUUAGUCAGGUUCAUUUGAAACUGAUCUAAUAAUUUGAUCUCCAAGGAGGUCAAAAUUCAGUCAAGAAUCAGAGCAUCACUUGCGUCUCCCACAGCUAGUUCAGAACAAUCACAAGAGACCUCAAUAGUGACCUUAUACACCCACCCACACAAAUGCAUAUUAUCCAGUUUAACUUCAUAAUCAUUUGAUGGUAAGACUGCCCUAUAGAUAGGGCAAACACACUUCAAGGUUCUGUUUCUAGGUCCUGCUACAGAUCUAAAGAAAACAAGAUGAGACUUGACUUUCCAAAUUCCCAUAACAUGCACACAAAUACAUUGCAGACCAUAGUGAAUAAGUGAAUAAGUAAUACUCCUGUCGAAAUUGAGGUAGGACAUCACUCAGCAAAUAUCCAAAGAACAUAAAGUUAGAAAUAAUUCAAACUAACAUAAAAAGAACUUAAUGGCCAAAAAUAACAUAAAAAGAACUUGUCACAGACAUAUUAACCGCACUAAUUUUUAUAUGCACUGUCUUGAUUUCAGCAUCGACAUAACUUGUAGCAGCUAAGAAGGAAAUAAGUACUAACAGCAAACCCAACAAUUUUAACAUGCAACAAAUAAUAAGCAAAUCUAGCAAAAAAAACAAAAAAAAAAAAAAAGAGAUAACAAACAAGACCAUAAAACAUCAUAAUCCAUGUGAUAAGAUAACUUCAAAAACUUAAAGGCAAUAAAUAGUAAACAAACAUUGAGAUUUAGUUAAAUAAUCACAAACAAUAAAAGAAAAGAAAUAUUAAAAGCUCUUACCAUAAAGAUGCAAAGCCAAGCUAUCACACUGGAUAUAAUCAGCUAGAAGAAUCCUCUCUUGUUCCCUUGACCCCCAAUAGUAUGCUCGGACUGGAACAAAGUUAGGAUGCCUUACAGAUCCUAUCUUUUUAACUUCCUUGGCAAAUUCUUUCUUAUGUUUAACCAGUCCUACACGCAACCACUUUACAGUCAACAUAUGUCUGUUACGUAGAGUAGCUUUAUAUAGAGUUCCAUGGCUGCCUCUACCAAGAACUUCCGCUGGAGCUCGAGAUAACUCCUCAAUAGUGAAUGUUAAUGAAGUAUCAAGAAAGAACAAUUCUCCAGCCAAACGAUCUGGUGAGCACACAUCCAUUAUCACAGGCUGUUCACAUGAUUCUAUAAAACGAGGUGAUGAUGGUAAUGGAAGCCUGGGGAGGAUUUCCUCCCAGAUGCUGCUGGCUCAUUAUCUAGUAGAUUAGGAUUCACAGAUGCUGAAGAGGUUGUGACUCUCUCAAGUGCACCAUGCUCAACAAUAUCAGCAACAAAUUCUUGCUGUCCAGACACUGAUGAAGUAAGCAAGUGAUCAUUUGAAAAACUCAAUGAAGUUUGUGUUGUCUGAACAUUUGAGUGGAACUUGAAAAGGGAAGGUCGUGAAAGCCUGUCUAACUUUGCAUCACCUCCAGUAGUUGUGUCACUAAAUCCACUUCUUCCAUGAAAUUCUUUCAGUUUCGCUCGAUGAUAUGCCAAUAAUACAAAAACAAUCAUUAAAGCAGCUACGACUGAGGCAACAAUGAUUGCUACUCUAGUAUUACUCUUUGAAUUAUGAUGUCUCACAUGAUAAGGGGCCUGAUCUGUAGAAGAGUCUGUUGAUGGCAUACCUUUAGGGAAAAUUAGCAAUGUGUUUCCUGGAGAAAAUGAAGACCUAGGGAAGCCUCUCAAAUUUUCUGGAACAGGACCUGACAGAUCGUUAUAGGACACAUUAAAUUCAUUAAGGCUAGUUGAAAGCUUAUCAGGGAUUGUACCCUUGAAGUGGUUUCCAGAUAAAUCAAGGUAUUCCAAAUUACUAAGUUUGCUUAAUUCACUAGGCAGCUGGCCUGAUAACUCGUUAUCUGCAAGAUUCAGCAGUUUGAGCCUAGCUAUGUUACCAAUCUCUGAAGGCAAACCACCUGUCAAAGAAUUCUUGGAGAGAUCAAGCGACUCCAUUUGGGGGUAAGACGACAUAACAAGUAAUUCAUUAACACGUGAGCCUUGAAGAGGAAUUGGUCCAGUGAAAUGAUUUCCUGAAAGAUUCAGGCUUUCCAAUGUUGCAGAAGUGAAGAAACUAUCAGGUAUGGGCCCACUGAGUUGAUUCAAACUGAGUUCAACAACAGUUAAUCUUGGAGAGGUAUCCAAUAAAGAAGGCAAGGUACCAAUAAGAGAAUUAUUCCUAAGAUUAAAUGUGUUUAAAUCCUCAAAUUGAGACAAGUUUGACAGGCUUCCUGACAACCUGUUAGAACUCAAAUCAAGAAACACCAAAGAGGCUUCCCAGUUCUGCAUAACAGAUAUGUCACCAGAGAUCAUGUUGCUACUCAAAUCGACAGUUUCACAGCUUCUUAGAGAAGAGGGUAAAUCACCAGACAACUGAUUAGAAGAAAGAUUCAAAACCUUCAAAGUUGUAGAAUUAAUUACACGAAUUGAACCUGUACAGAUUUGGUAAGAUGUAAAAUAUCAGAUGACUUCAGAUAUCUCUAAAGUCAAAUGGGCUAACAAGGAUUUCAGUGCAAUGUAAAAUAUCAGAUAACUUCAGAUAUCCAGACAGUCAAAUGGGCACAUAAGAGAAUUUAGUGCAACAUUAGGUUAAUAAAAAAACAGAAAGGAGUUCAGGAUUCAAUUUUGACACAAUAAAAAUAUUUACCAUCGAUACAACACUACCACUAAAGAUUUGUCUUUUGCUACACUUAAGCAACUCAUUGAAGGGAUUCAGUGAUUUGCAUUUGUCGAAUAUCCAUGUACAUAAGAAUCUUCCUGGUUUAGUAGUCACUACUUUAAGCAAAAGCAAGAAAAUUAGCUAAGACUUAGAAGAUGAAUAAUUGUUACACAGCUUAACCACCUUGAAUCCCCUUAAGCAAGCAUCAUAAUUUGUUUGAAGCAUCAUAAGAAUGCAUCACACUCUCAUCACUCCUCAAACAGUAUAUGUAAAGAAACCAAAAGAAACAAAAAAAAUCCUUCAUUGGCACUCAAGGGCUUACAGGAACAGCCAAGAUGUUUUUAUAUUUUAAAAUUUUGCAUUUCAAAGAUUGCACAUAAUCAUUUUAAUGCAAGAUGGGAUGCUCAGAUUUAUAUUCAAGUAAGAUAAUAAAAAUAAAGUACUUCCCUACAUUGUUUUUUUUUUAAUUCAUGUUCUUUUUAAGACCAUGAAUUAAAAAAAAAAAUUAUUUACUUGUCAAACUAUUGCCUCUCUUUGUAACUUCUCACCCAAAAAAAUUUACGAUUUGACCAGAGGAUGAUGUCACCAAAAACUCAAUCCUCAAAAUCAUGAAAUACAAUGCGUAAAACUCCCCAAAUCACUUCACAUUCAUCCACUUCUAGUAUAACUCCAAUGUCAGAAACAUUAAGUAACUAAUUAUAAACCAAAAAUUUUUUUAAAAAAGGUACAUGUUUAACCGACAUCAACUUUCUCUGGCCAAGAAAAAAUGAAAGAAAAACUAGCAUUGCUUUCAUGGGAAAUCUGAAUAAAAUGACCUAUUGGCAUUGUUCCCUAUCAUCAAAAUAUAAGGAAAUAUAACAUCUACCACUAAUUCAAAUCCAAAAACAGAUACUACAUAUUUUAGCCUGAAAAUCAGUAGACUAUUGACUAAAUAUUCCAACUUCAUUAUCAAGACAAUAAAAGAAAUAGAAAAUGAAAGUCAACAAAAAGUCUAUACCCGUAAAUCCAUUCUGACCGAGAUCCAACUCCUCCAAUGGAACAAAACCCACCAACAACUCCACUGGCACUGGCCCGAAGAGCUGAUUUUUCCCCAAUCUCAAAACCCGUAAACCCGGCAACGACCCGAAACUUGGCAACUCCCCAGCAAUCGAAUUAUCACCCAAAUCCAACACCUGCAAAUUCUUAAACAAUCCAAUUGCUUCCUCUUUCAAAAACCCACCAUUCAACCGGUUAUGACUCAAGUUCAUAAAACGCACUGUAUUAGCCAAACUGGACACAUUCUCAACAGCCACAGACAAACCCCCGUAAAACUCGUUAUAACUCAAAUCAACGUGUUCAACGUUCCUUAACUCACUGAGUAACUGGCCUAUAUCUCCUCGAAGCGCAUUAUUGUGUAAAUCUAACACUCUCAAUUGCUGCAAAUUUCGGAACCCGCCCGGCAACCCGCCGUUGAACUUAUUUCCAGAUAAAUUCAAGUAAUUUAACCCGAAAAGGUCUGUGAUCCGAGCCGGAAUCGUGCCGACGAACUGGUUACCGGACAGAUCCAAUUGCUGCAGCGAGGUUAUCCAGCCCAAUGCGGGUGCGACCCGACCCGUGAAGGCGUUGCCUGACAAAGAUAGGUUUUGAAGGUUCUUGAGGGGAGUGAGAGUGUGGAACUUGAGGUCGCCGACGAGACCCAGACGAUCUAAGUUGAUGGAAACGAUGAAGCCGGAGUAGGGGUCGCGCGUAACGCCGGUCCAUGAAGUAGGGUCGGGUCGGGUAUCCGGAUCCCAUACCGAGAGUACCUUAUCGAAAGGGUCGGUUUUGAUGCCUUUCUUAAACUCGAGUAAAGCUCGGAGCUCCAACGGGUCAUACCCAGAUGCAGAAGUCAAUCCCAAAAACAAUAGUAAUAAAAGAAAAUAAAAGGAGAAAGCGAAAGACAAAGAGAGAUUCAUCUAAUUCAUGGAUUAGAAAAUCCCAAACCAAAAAAAAAAAAAAAAAAACCCAGAAACUGAAGCUUCUGCUUGAGAAAGAAAAAGGGUUAGGGUUUGUUUAGGAGACAGAAAACUCAAUGGGUUCUUUUUUUUUUUUUUACUACUAAUUUUAAAAAAAGAAAGAAAGGGAAAUUCGUCUAAGAAUGCGUUAGGGGGAGACGUGGAGAAACAGUUCUUACAGUCUGUAAAGGGAAGGGAAAGGGGUUAGCCAACCCUCACUUGCCUUUAAACAAAACAAAAUCAGAAGAAAAAAAAAAGGAAAGAAAAAGAGACAAAUCUCUCUCUCUCUCUCACUUGACCCCACCAUUGUUUGCGUUUACACUACUAAAUGCUGUUUCCACUCCAGCUCACAUGCCUUUUUUAUCGCUUUGUUUCCCUAACACUGUUAAAAUCUCUCUCUUCUGUUUUUUUUAACCUUUUUACUCUAACCUUUUACUUUUUAAUCUCCUAAUGUUUUAUUUUUCUUAGUGCCGCUUGUAUAAUUUUUUUGUUAUUUUUUUAUUACUUGUUUUUUUUUAACUUGCUAAGUUUGAAUUAAAUAAAUUCAUUAUUCUAUAAAACAUUGAACUUUAAUGCCACUGGUAUUUUUUUUUGGUUACACUUAAUAGCAUACUUGAUGUUUGUUCAUAUCCUUGAUUUAAAUUUUUUUACUUGUUUAUGUAUUUGUAAAGUUAUAUUAUAAAAAUCUUCUUAUUUAUUUUAAUUAAUUCACAUAAUCUUUUUUAAAAAUAAUAUAUAACAUAUUUAAGAUUUGAAUUUAAACAUUUCAUUUUUUUUAAAUUAAAACCUCUUUUCUAAAUAAAAUUAUAUCAUAAAAAGUUAUUUUUUUUGUCGCUUUGUUUAUUCUAAUAAUUUGUUCAUAUAAAUUAUUAUUCACAAACUUUUUUUUUUGGUUGUAUGUAUUUUUUAAAAUGAUUAUACUUAGAAAAACAUCAUUACAUUUAAUUCAAUAAUAAAUAUAUGUAUCUUAAUUUUUUAAAAAUUGCAUUCGGUUAUUUUUUAAGUUUAACAUAAAACAAUAGAGAAUGAAUCUUUAUGAAUUAAAUACUUAAAAAAGUUUUUUUAAUUGGGUAAAAAAUUUUUAAGGGGGACAUUUGGUUGGGAGGAAAAUAAAAUUUUUGUCAUAAUCUUAUUUUUUGUAGCUUGAUGCCUUAAUUUAAUUCAAGAAAUGUAAUUUUUGAAGUUUUUUAAGAUUCUUACAAUGUCCCAAACUUCAAUUAUAUCUUUAAGAGCAGUUGACUCGUAUAGUGGCAUUUAAUUUCCCACAAAAUUGUUUAUUUUAUAAACAGUAAGACUAAAACCAUUGUCAAAUUACCCCAUCAAAGCUAACAUGUGGAAAAGGAAACGGAAACCUUUGAAUCACUGCUGCAAAAGAAGCAAACAGAUAUCACACCUAAUUCCUUGCAUUGCAACCCAAGAGAGUACUUUUAUGAAACAUUUCUCCAAUGGAUAAUCUUGCUCAUAUUGAAGUUAUUAGUUUGGACACUUUCACUGUACGUAACAUGUCUGUUCUCAAUUUCGACAAAAACCUAAUAAAAUUGACUCCAUCUUCUUCACUAUUCGGACAUACUUUUGGAUGGAGGGAUAAUGAACUUAAAACUGUGGGAUAACUGUCGUCUAAUUUGGGUAAUGGCUUAAGUCAGUUCAUUGGAAUUUGGAAGUCCAAUACAAGGAUAAUGGCUUUAGUCAAAUGAGUCAUGGAAGAUUCACAUUGAUCCACUGAGAGAGAGAAAGAGAGAGUCUACUAAUGACAAUCUCUUGAUGGGAGAAAACAUGAGAACAUGGUCAUCUUGGAAUCUUAAGCAACUUGCUUGUGCCAUCUUUAAGGUCUAAUUACAAGCUUAGCUGUUUUAAUACUAUUUUUUCCACAUCUUAACAAAUUGAGAACUUGAUUAAAUUUUAGAUGAUGGGGGAGCAUUACACUAGCCAGCCAUCUGCUUUAGAAUAUUGAUUGAUUAUUUAAAAAAAAAUACUACACGAUAUUGGUUUUACAUGAAGUAACAGCUAAUAAAUAGUGGACUUAAAAAUAAUAACCAUACCUGACCUCCAAUAUACUCCCAAUUUGUUUAGAGAUACUGGUGUUUAUUCCUAGAUACAUUCAUGAAAUAUGAACAGUUUUCUAAUCCAACAUUGUUUUUGUCUUUCUAAUUUGUGCAGUUUCCAUGGCAUGAUCUGUAAAGUUAAAAGUACAUGUUAUUGCCAACUGAGCUCAAUAUAUGACCACAUGGGCAUGGCCUCUACUUCAAAUCACUUUGUCCUCAAAAACCAAGUUGGUAAGUGUAGAUGUACACACAAAUGAAGUUGGUAAUUAAGGGAAAUGUACGCACAAAUUUCAGUGUGACGAAAAAAAAAAGUCAAAUAGUAAAUUUCAAUUUAUAAAUUAAAGAAG